rnacentral:rRNA from 1 species
CCUACGGGGGGCUGCAGUGGGGAAUAUUGCACAAUGGGCGCAAGCCUGAUGCAGCCAUGCCGCGUGUGUGAAGAAGGCCUUCGGGUUGUAAAGCACUUUCAGCGGGGAGGAAGGCAGUGAGGUUAAUAACCUCAUCGAUUGACGUUACCCGCAGAAGAAGCACCGGCUAACUCCGUGCCAGCAGCCGCGGUAAUACGGAGGGUGCAAGCGUUAAUCGGAAUUACUGGGCGUAAAGCGCACGCAGGCGGUCUGUCAAGUCGGAUGUGAAAUCCCCGGGCUCAACCUGGGAACUGCAUUCGAAACUGGCAGGCUAGAGUCUUGUAGAGGGGGGUAGAAUUCCAGGUGUAGCGGUGAAAUGCGUAGAGAUCUGGAGGAAUACCGGUGGCGAAGGCGGCCCCCUGGACAAAGACUGACGCUCAGGUGCGAAAGCGUGGGGAGCAAACAGGAUUAGAUACCCCGGUAGUC